rnacentral:misc_RNA from 1 species
AAGUCGUAACAAGGUUUCCGUAGGUGAACCUGCGGAAGGAUCAUUAAUGAAAUUCUGACUGAGGCUGUAGCUGGUCCCUAGCCGGACAUGUGCACGUCUCUUUCAAAAUCCACAAACACCUGUGCACCUUUGCGUGAGUCCACUGGGGUUGUACCCGAGGGGGCUUGCGUCCUUUUCACAAACUCUUGUAUGUCUUUAAGAAUGUCUAUCUUGAUGUAAUAAAACGCAUCUAAUACAACUUUCAACAACGGAUCUCUUGGCUCUC